UACGGAGGGGGCUAGCGUUGUUCGGAAUUACUGGGCGUAAAGCGCACGUAGGCGGCUUUGUAAGUUAGAGGUGAAAGCCCGGGGCUCAACUCCGGAAUUGCCUUUAAGACUGCAUCGCUAGAAUUGUGGAGAGGUAAGUGGAAUUCCGAGUGUAGAGGUGAAAUUCGUAGAUAUUCGGAAGAACACCGGUGGCGAAGGCGGCCCACUGGCUCGACACUGACGCUGAGGUGCGAAAGCGUGGGGAGCAAACAGG
rnacentral:rRNA from 1 species